ACCCAACUGACGAGUUCCAAAUAAGACGAAACGCGCUUCCUGGAU
rnacentral:hammerhead_ribozyme from 1 species